CUCCUCCCCAGACCUCUCCCCUGCUGUCCUGCAACGUGUCACUGCUUGCCUUUCUUCCAUCUCUGACUGGAUGUCCUCCCGCUUUCUGAAACUCAAUCUCUCAAAAACUGAGCUCCUUGUCUUUCCUCCUCUUAAUACUGAUCCUCCUCUUUCGCUCUCCCUUCAAGUUUGUGGUACCAACAUCAGCCCAUCCUUGCAAGCGCGCUGUCUUGGCGUCAUACUUGACUCUGGUCUCACCUUUGAGCCUCACAUCCAGCAUGUUGCCAAAU